GACCGCGUAGCUCAGUUGGCAGAGCAUUGGGCUGGUAUUCCAAAGGUCGUAGGUUCGAUUCCUACCGUGGCCG